rnacentral:rRNA from 1 species
CCUACGGGUGGCAGCAGUGGGGAAUAUUGGACAAUGGGGGGAACCCUGAUCCAGCGACGCCGCGUGAGUGCAGAAGUAUUUCGGUUUGUACAGCUCUAUCAGCAGGGCAGAAAGAAAUGACGGUACCUGUCUUAGAAGCUCCGGCUAACUACGUGCAAGCAUCCGCGGUAAAACGUAGGGGGCAAGCGUUAUCCGGAUUUACUGGGUGUAAAGGGAGCGUAGACGGCGAAGCAAGUAUGAAGUGAAAGGCGGGGGCCCAACCCCCGGACUGCUUUGGAAACUGUAUGGCUGGAGGGCAGGAGAGGUAAGUGGAAGUCCUAGUGUAGCGGUGAAAUGCGUAGAUAUUAGGAGGAACACCAGUGGCGAAGGCGGCUUACUGGACUGUAACUGACGUUGAGGCUCGAAAGCGUGGGGAGCAAACAGGAUUAGAUACCCCAGUAGUC